rnacentral:rRNA from 1 species
GAAUCAGCGGGGCCCAUCCCGUAAGGCUAAAUACUCCCGAGAGACCGAUAGCGAACCAGUACUGUGAAGGAAAGGUGAAAAGCACCUCGAACAGAGGAGUGAAAUAGUCCCUGAAACCGUCUGCCUACAAGCGGUCGGAGCAACGUAAGUUGUGACGGCGUGCCUUUUGCAUAAUGAACCUACGAGUUACUUUCUCCGGCAAGGUUAAGGGCUUCAGGCCCGGAGCCGAAGCGAAAGCGAGUCUUAAUAGGGCGUGAUAGUCGGAGUGAGUAGACGCGAAACCAAGUGAUCUACCCUUGGUCAGGAUGAAGGUUGGGUAACACCAACUGGAGGUCCGAAUGGGUAUACGUUGAAAAGUGUUCCAAUGAACUGAGGGUAGGGGUGAAAGGCUAAUCAAACUUGGAGAUAGCUCGUACUCCCCGAAAUGCAUUUAGGUGCAGCCUUUAUUUAGUAUAGCAUGAGGUAGAGCGACUGAUUGGAUGCGAGGGCUUCACCGCCUAUCAAGUCCAGAUAAACUCCGAAUGCGUGCUAUAUAUUGAUAAGGAGUGAGGGCGCGGGUGCUAAGGUCCGCGUCCGAGAGGAGAAGAAUCCAGACCAUCAGCUAAGGUCCCCAAAUAACAGUUAAGUUGAACUAACGAAGUCGGACUGCAGAGACAGCUAGGAUGUUGGCUUGGAAGCAGCCAUUCAUUUAAAGAGUGCGUAACAGCUCACUAGUCGAGGAGUCCGGCGUGGAUAAUACUCGGGCAUAAACUGUUUACCGAAGCUAUGGAUGUAGAAAUACAUGGUAGGGGAGCAUUCCAACGGCGUUGAAGGUGAAGGAUGACCUUUGCUGGAGCUUUUGGAAACGCAAAUGUAGGUAUAAGUAACGAUAAAGGAGGUGAGAAACCUCCUCGCCGAAAGACUAAGGUUUCCUGAUCAACGUUAAUCGGAUCAGGGUAAGUCGGGACCUAAGGUUAAGCCGAACGGCGAUACCGAUGGAAGAAUGGUUUAAUAUUCCCAUACUACUUUAUGGAGCGAUGUGGAGACGGAGAAGUGAAAGUCCUGCCAUCUGACGGAAUAGGUGGUUGAAGAGUGUAGAUGUAGAUUCCUGUAGGCAAAUCCGCAGGGAGAGUCGACCUUGACAGUAUGCCGCGUGCUUGCACAAGGCAAAAUGGACGUAAUCAGGCUCCCAAGAAAAUCCGCUAAGCAUAUUCAUAAAGUACCCGUACCGUAAACGGACACACGUAGUUGGGUUGAAAAUACUGAGGCGCUCGAGUGAUUCACGGUUAAGGAACUAGGCAAAUUGACCCUGUAACUUCGGGAUAAAGGGUCCCUACUGAGAGGUAGGGCGCAGAGAAUAGGUCCAGGCAACUGUUUAACAAAAACACAUGGCUGUGCGAAAUAGAAAUAUGAAGUAUACAGCCUGACACCUGCCCGGUGCUGGAAGGUUAAGAGGAGAGCUCAUCGCAAGAGAAGGCUUGAAUUGAAGCCCCAGUAAACGGCGGCCGUAACUAUAACGGUCCUAAGGUAGCGAAAUUCCUUGUCGGGUAAGUUCCG